rnacentral:rRNA from 1 species
AUUGAACGCUGGCGGCAUGCCUUACACAUGCAAGUCGAACGGCAGCACGGGAGCAAUCCUGGUGGCGAGUGGCGAACGGGUGAGUAAUAUAUCGGAACGUGCCCAGUCGUGGGGGAUAACGUAGCGAAAGCUACGCUAAUACCGCAUACGAUCUAUGGAUGAAAGCGGGGGAUCGCAAGACCUCGCGCGAUUGGAGCGGCCGAUAUCAGAUUAGGUUGUUGGUGGGGUAAAAGCCUACCAAGCCUGCGAUCUGUAGCUGGUCUGAGAGGACGACCAGCCACACUGGAACUGAGACACAGUCCAGACUCCUACGGGAGGCAGCAGUGGGGAAUUUUGGACAAUGGGCGCAAGCCUGAUCCAGCAAUGCCGCGUGCAGGAUGAAGGCCUCGGUUGUAAC